GACAAAUGACAACACCAUUUUCUAGAAUAGAGAUACAUAAAGUUGGGCAAUUUGGGGAAGAAAAAAAACACCUCUUUACCACUCUUAUAAAAAUUCCAUUCUGAAAUGGAGAAAAAAAUUAAAAGUCAAACAAAAAUAGAAAAGACAGAAUGGAAACUGAAAAUCACCUUAGAAAAGAAGACAAACCAGGAAGAACAAAAUGUAACUACCUUAAAGGGGCACCCGUUAUCGUUGUUGUGAUCCUCAGCAAUGACCACGGGAGGAAUACCUGUCUCUAUCUUCAGUCCACCCUUGUUCAUCUUCACUCUCCAACUGAAGGAUAUUAGCAAGGGAUUAUUGGUCAUGGAAAAGAACAAGAGGAAGAAGAUUACCACAGCUUUAUCACUACCCCUGGGGAAAAGAAAAACCACUCUCAGUCAUCUCCAGCCCACGGGAAAGUCACCUUGGUCUGAACUAGAGAGUUCCAUGGAAGAAGAGACUGUGUUGUCUGAUGCUCACUUACUGUUUUCUCCAGGAUGUCCCUACUUCUUUUGUCUGGAUGACUUUUUAAACCUGGCCCGCUUCUGAGGAGGAGUCUCAGUUACAGCUUCACAGUCCAGCCUGACCAUGAUGGAUGAGGAGGAGGCCAACUGUCCACUGCUCUGCACAUGUUAUGGAUUUAAAAUCCAAGCAGCAGAAGCAUCCCUGGAUGUUCCUCUCAGUCCUCUUCCUGCCACACUCCACAGCUCCUGCUUCCAACCCUUGCUUCCUGCCCCCUUCUCCCUCCUUGGAUUUUCAUGUUGGAUUUUAAUUUCUUCCCCUGGAAUCUCAGUUGGAGACACAUGAUAUUACUAUGUUCUUUGGCUUCCUGCUCAAAUCUUAAUAUCAUACAUUCUUGAUUUUGGAAUUGCAGCAGUUUGGGAUUAAAGACACCCCUAUCACUGGUCAAGCCGGGCAGCUUUGACAGGGAUGAGGGGUUGAGAAAGAUUGAAAGCAAAGUAGUACACGUAUGUAUAUCCCUUUGAUGAGAACACCUGCAAGGCUAAUGAAAAACUUAAGUCAAGCAAAAUACAUUUUUCCUAAAAACAAAUACAGAAUUUUACUUUCAUGACUGUUAAAGUAAUU